rnacentral:rRNA from 1 species
AUUGAACGCUGGCGGCAUGCUUUACACAUGCAAGUCGAACGGCAGCACGGGGGCAACCCUGGUGGCGAGUGGCGAACGGGUGAGUAAUACAUCGGAACGUGCCCGGUCGUGGGGGAUAACGUAGCGAAAGUUACGCUAAUACCGCAUACGAUCUGAGGAUGAAAGCGGGGGACCUUCGGGCCUCGCGCGAUCGGAGCGGCCGAUGUCAGAUUAGGUAGUUGGUGGGUAAAGGCCUACCAAGCCGACGAUCUGUAGCUGGUCUGAGAGGACGACCAGCCACACUGGGACUGAGACACGGCCCAGACUCCUACGGGAGGCAGCAGUGGGGAAUUUUGGACAAUGGGCGCAAGCCUGAUCCAGCCAUUCCGCGUGCAGGACGAAGGCCUUCGGGUUGUAAACUGCUUUUGUAUGGAACGAAAAGGCUCUGGCUAAUACCUGGGGCUCAUGACGGUACCGUAAGAAUAAGCACCGGCUAACUACGUG